rnacentral:rRNA from 1 species
CAGCAGCCGCGGUAAUACGGAGGGUGCAAGCGUUACUCGGAAUCACUGGGCGUAAAGCGCGCGCAGGCGGCUAUUUAAGUUGGAUGUGAAAGCCUACGGCUCAACCGUAGAACUGCAUCCAAAACUAUUUAGCUAGAGUGUGGGAGAGGAAGAUGGAAUUAGUUGUGUAGGGGUAAAAUCCGUAGAGAUAACUAGGAAUACCAAAAGCGAAGGCAAUCUUCUGGAACACUACUGACGCUGAGGCGCGAAAGCGUGGGGAGCAAACAGGAUUAGAUACCCUGGUAGUCCACGCAGUAAACGAUGAAUGUUAGUCGUCGGGGGCCUAGUGUCUUCGGUGAUGCAGCUAACGCAUUAAACAUUCCGCCUGGGGAGUACGGUCGCAAGAUUAAAACUCAAAGGAAUAGACGGGGACCCGCACAAGUGGUGGAGCAUGUGGUUUAAUUCGAAGAUACGCGAAGAACCUUACCUAGCCUUGACAUAUUUUAGAACUCCGCAGAGAUGCAGAGGUGCUUCGGAGCUAAUUUACAGGUGCUGCACGGCUGUCGUCAGCUCGUGUCGUGAGAUGUUGGGUUAAGUCCCGCAACGAGCGCAACCCUCGUCACUAGUUACUAACGGUUCGGCCGAGGACUCUAGUGAGACUGCCUUCGUAAGGAGGAGGAAGGUGAGGACGACGUCAAGUCAUCAUGGCCCUUACGGCUAGGGCAACACACGUGCUACAAUGGUUGGGACAGUGAGACGCGAUACCGCGAGGUGGAGCAAAUCUAUAAACCCAAUCUCAGUUCGGAUUGUAGUCUGCAACUCGACUACAUGAAGCUGGAAUCACUAGUAAUCGUAGAUCAGCUAUGCUACGGUGAAUACGUUCCCGGGUCUUGUACUCACCGCCCGUCACACCAUGGGAGUUGAUUUCACCCGAAGCGGGGAAGCUAAACUGGCUACCCUCCACGGUGGAAUUAGCGACUGGGGUGAAGUCGUAACAAGGUAACCGUA